rnacentral:lncRNA from 1 species
UUUUUUUUUUUUUUUUUUUUUUUUUUUUAAGGUAAACUUCAAAUACCACUCCAUAAUUUCACAUUUUUUUACUUUAAUUUUCUGUUGUUUAAAGUGUAUUAAGUUAGUGACAUGUGAUUUUAUGUUUAGUUUUUCGCCAGCUUUUUUAUUUAUAUUUCGUUAAAUUAUAUGCAAAAAAAAUUUUAGAUAUCUCAUCUAGGUCAAUCAAAUAUUCAUUUUAGUACCCUUUAGUUUUAACUUUGUCACUAAUUUAACGAAAAAAAUUGGUGGAAUCGAUAAUAAAAAGAUAAAAAUGAAAUUACAGAGCACUAAAUUGAUACACUUUGAACCACAAGGCACUAAAGUGAGAAAGUGUAAAACUAUAGAGGUGGUAUUUAAAGUUUUUACCUUUUUUUUUGGCUAAAUUAUAGAAAAUCCCUCUACAAAUAUCAGCUUUUAAAAAUCUAUAUUUUACCUAGUUAAAACUUCAAAUAUAAUUUCAGAAAAGUACGGUGUUAAUAGAGAGGGCACAAAAUAAUCAAAUUGUAUUACCUCUUUUAUAAGAAAAAAAUAAUUUUUUAAUAUAUUUAUGUUAUUUUGAGGGGGUAUUUUCGGUAUAAUUUAUAAGAAAUGAAUGAAAUAGUAAUGGAACCCUGACGGAGGGAGGAUAAAUGCAACAAUUUGAAAUGUUGAGGAGAUGAAAAAUAAAUUUUUUCAAGUGAGGAAGGUAAAGUAAAAAAGUAGAUAUUUGUAUAGAAAUUUUUUGUAAUGUAGCCUUUGUAUUUUUGGUAAAAGAAGUGCAACACGUAUGUAAAUUACGAAUUAUUUAAACUUUUGGUUUUAUUGCUCAAUCUUUCAGUUUGUUUGAUUUGAAUUAGUUAACAAUACUUUAUUUUUAAAAUUUUAAUAUUUCAUUUUUUUUAUAGGUAUAAUCAGUAAACAUCAUUCAAACUCACAGCAACAAAUUUAUAAAAAUAAAUAAUUAGCUUAAAUUGUAAAAUAGCAGUAUCGUUGGCUGACACAAAGCAAACAAAUUAAAAGUUUGGAUAAUAAAAUUAAAAUUUCGGUAAAUUGGAUAACUAGUUCAAAAUAGUAGAAAGAAAGUUCGGAUAAAUUUUGUAUAUUUUGUAUCUUUGUAAAUUUAGACUAUAAAAAGCAUGGGGUGUUUUUUUUUUUUGAGAGACAGGUAACACGCAACCCGCUUCGUUUAUUUCAUUUAGAAAUAAACUUAGCUAGAAAUGUGAAUCAACUAGGAUUCGAACUUGGGUCUCCGGUACCAACCACCAAGUCAUUUGCCACUUGCUCUAGGGACGGUCAGUAAAAAGCAUUGGGUGUUAGAUUUACAAUUGUAUUAUUAUAGACAUAGAGACAGCAUCAAUAUUUAUUUAUAUCUA